GUGGCUGUAGCUCAGUGACAGAGUGCUUGCCUAGCAUGCGUGAGGCACUGGGUUUGAUCCUCAGCACCACA
rnacentral:tRNA from 1 species